AGCAAGACAUGAUAGGGAGUUGGCAAGUUAAAGAAGUUCUGGUUUAUAAUAGAUACGUUAUUAAUGUUAGGAUGUAUGGGAUAUUUGUAGUACACCUUGAUUGGUUUUACUA
rnacentral:sRNA from 1 species